CACCCAGAUUCCUAUAUUUUCGAGCGGUUAUAAGCACAGUGUCGAUCGAGUGACGAAAAAUGCUACAAAAGUGCCGGAAUUUUACCCGGCCUUGCCACCCGCAGACAGCACUGCCCUAAGCUUCUGCUAUAAUCACAAUAAAACUACACGAAUUGAGCGAAUCGCUAUUACAGCAGCCUUUUUUUUCCUCAUUGAACUGUCAAAACACAACACAACAGUUUUUGGAAAGAGAAACGAUUUUUAUUGGCUUGAUCACGCUCCCGAACUGCAGAGUAGACAGAUAGGACAGGUUAAUUUCACAUUGCCUUUUAUUGCUCCAGCUUCAACAGGCAUCAUAGUAAAUACAAGUUAAUCCCGCAUUGCCUUCCACCGCUCCACCGACAGCAGGCAUUCACAUCAAUAUUAUUAUAUACUACACAUACUUUUAACAUGAAUAUAUAUUUAGAUGUACAUUAUAAAACUAAGUGAAUAACCGAUAAGUUGAUGAUUGUAUUUCAAGUUGCAAUUGUAUUUAAGUGUAAAUUGCUUUUUCUAGAAAUAAAAUACAUAUUUUUUAUCAACA